AGUUUUGUAGAAUUUAAGGAUGAGAGUUGAAUGACACUAGAAGAGGAGAAGAACACCUCCCCUAUUCCAUCUCGCAGCUACAACCCAGAGCGAGAGAAACCAAUGAUCCACCCCUGUGUAGAUCCCCCCGCCUGUGAAAGCUGUCAGAAACUUGAACUCUCUUUCUUUGACCCAGAGUGUCCAGGAUGUAGGUCGAUACUUGAAAACCCCAACACCACAGUGCCAGAGAUUUUCUCAGUCCUUCGGCAAUGGACACCACAAACUCAGCAGAAUUUAGAUUUACUUAUAGAUGAGAUUUUAAAACGUGGUGCUCACAUUAAUGAUAGAGAUGGCCUCACCGACAUGACCUUAUUACACUAUGCAAGUAAAUCAGGGGCUGCUGGGAUAGGUGAUGCUGACCUGGCUUGUCGGAUGGGACCAAUAUGACAGCACUUCACUAUGCAGCUUAUUUUGAUGUUGUACCUGUGAUCAAAGUCCUUCUGAAGCACACAAAAGCCUUGGAUAUUGACAGUGUUUGUUCUGAGUUUGACAACGGUUCGUCGUUACACAUAGCAGCGUCCAAUCUGGCAUAUGAAGCAGUGAGGGUACUGCUACAAAAUGGUGCUGAUGCUCUCCUCAAAGAUGACCAAGGCAGAACAGCCUUAGAGUGCAUUCCUGACCCUUCCAAUUUGGAUUCUGACCCAGAAAUGGCAAAAAUAGUAGUCAAGUUACGGAAGACUUUACAGGAAGCCUGUCAGCCCGCCCCCAAACAACCACCGCCAAAUUAUGACCUUGUACAGAGCAAGGUCACUCUACAGUCUCUGGGGCUGACCUUGGGGGAUAAGGUCAUGGUCGGAGGACUCAAGAUUGGAACACUGAGGUAUUGUGGACCAGCGGAAUUUGCAGCAGGAAUCUGGGCGGGGAUAGAACUGGAUGAAGCCGGAGGGAAAAAUGAUGGAAGCAUCGGGGGCAUCUCUUACUUCCAGUGUCCUAAAAAUCAUGGUAUAUUUGCCCCUAUCAGCAAAAUUGCCAAACCAGGGUCAGCCCCCCGUCCCCGGUCUCCAGCUGUUUCUCCCCACAAAUCUCCGGUUCAGAGGGCAGGGUCCGUGGAUGUGUCAAAUAUCAAGGCCAGAGUGGAUACAGGGCUGAAGACAAAAACCGGCUCCAUAUCUAACCUGGCCGAGAUGGAGGUGGGAGAACGAGUGAUUGUAGCAGGGCAGAGAAAGGGCACUAUCAGAUUUGCUGGAAACACACAGUUUGCACCUGGUACUUGGUAUGGUAUCGAGUUAGACAGACCUGCUGGCAAAAAUGAUGGAUCUGUUAACGGACAUAGAUACUUCACCUGUAAAGCUAAACAUGGAGUGUUUGCUCCCUUAUCAAGAAUACAAAAACUGGGAGACCGACGAUUCAGCUCCAGCGAGUCCCUGGAUGACCCCAUCAGUUGGGGGGCUGUCUCAGAAAGGGUCGACAAACAUCAUUCUGGAGUUAACUCGACACCAGGAAGAGCAAGAACUCCAAUUAAAAGGCCUAAGAGUAUGAUACAAACACCAACAAGACCUGUCUCCUCACAGAGUAUCUCGAGAACUCCUGGAUCCAUCAACGACUUCAAGCUAGAAGUGGGAAUGAGCGUCUUCUGUAAUAAUGAGCUAGGUACUGUUAGAUAUAUCGGUCCAGCGGAGUUCGGUGAAGGAGUUUGGGUGGGUGUGGAACUAAGAACUGCCAAAGGAAAGAACGACGGUAGUGUACACGACAAGCGAUAUUUCACGUGUCGUCAGGACCACGGACUGCUCGUCAGACCCAGCAAAAUUACCGUAAGAGGAAUCAAUGGUGCCAAAUUAAUUACAGACUAUUACGGAUCAAAAGAAUCCAGUCCAAUGGAGGACAAGUGAAUAUCUACCUACAACUGUUUAUAGGAGGACCAACUAUCAAGCCCUCAACCCCUCAUCAAGCCUGUGAUUAAAGAUGCCAUAAGUCAUUAUGUCCGUUUCACACCACCAUAUUUUUGUUAAUAUAUUUUACUGGAAAAAAACAUUGCAAGUUUUUUUUCAGUGAUUUUUUUAAAACUUUUUAAAUAAUUCUGGUUGGAGUAAAUUUUUUACUGUUAUUCAUCAACAGAUGCUGUUGAUUAGGAUAUGAUGUCUCUUGUAUUACAGUUUGGGGCACCUGAUCUCCAUGUCACUAUAUAUCAUUGUUAACAUUGCUGUUAUUUUUAUGGUGAUGUACGAUCAUAAUAAGCUUUUAUUUUUUGUACUUCAUAUUACUCAAUGUGUCAAAAAGUUAUUUAAUGGGAUCCAUUAUGCAAAUCAAAGUUGUUAAUAUUUUAUGCAAGAAAUAAAUAUUUCAAGCUU
rnacentral:misc_RNA from 1 species